rnacentral:piRNA from 1 species
UACAACUGGGGAAGAGACCAUUCUAGAAAGCC